GGCCCGUUGGAGAAGCGGUUUAACUCACAUGCCUUUCACGCAUGCACACACGGGUUCGAAUCCCGUACGGGUCACCA
rnacentral:tRNA from 1 species